GCCUAUACAUGCAAGUCGAGCGAACGGACGAGAAGCUUGCUUCUCUGAUGUUAGCGGCGGACGGGUGAGUAACACGUGGAUAACCUACCUAUAAGACUGGGAUAACUUCGGGAAACCGGAGCUAAUACCGGAUAAUAUUUUGAACCGCAUGGUUCAAAAGUGAAAGACGGUCUUGCUGUCACUUAUAGAUGGAUCCGCGCUGCAUUAGCUAGUUGGUAAGGUAACGGCUUACCAAGGCAACGAUGCAUAGCCGACCUGAGAGGGUGAUCGGCCACACUGGAACUGAGACACGGUCCAGACUCCUACGGGAGGCAGCAGUAGGGAAUCUUCCGCAAUGGGCGAAAGCCUGACGGAGCAACGCCGCGUGAGUGAUGAAGGUCUUCGGAUCGUAAAACUCUGUUAUUAGGGAAGAACAUAUGUGUAAGUAACUGUGCACAUCUUGACGGUACCUAAUCAGAAAGCCACGGCUAACUACGUGCCAGCAGCCGCGGUAAUACGUAGGUGGCAAGCGUUAUCCGGAAUUAUUGGGCGUAAAGCGCGCGUAGGCGGUUUUUUAAGUCUGAUGUGAAAGCCCACGGCUCAACCGUGGAGGGUCAUUGGAAACUGGAAAACUUGAGUGCAGAAGAGGAAAGUGGAAUUCCAUGUGUAGCGGUGAAAUGCGCAGAGAUAUGGAGGAACACCAGUGGCGAAGGCGACUUUCUGGUCUGUAACUGACGCUGAUGUGCGAAAGCGUGGGGACCAAACAGGAUUAAAUACCCCUGGUAGUCCCCGCCGUAUACAAUGAUUGCUAAUUGUUAGGGGGUUUCCGCCCCUUGAUGCUCGCAAGGUUGAAACUCAAAGGAAUUGNCGGGGACCCGCCAAGCGGUGGAGCAUGUGUUUUAAUUAGAAGCAACGAGAAGAACCUUACCAAAUCUUGACAUCCUUUGACAACUCUAGAGAUAGAGCCUUCCCCUUCGGGGGACAAAGUGACAGGUGGUGCAUGGUUGUCGUCAGCUCGUGUCGUGAGAUGUUGGGUUAAGUCCCGCAACGAGCGCAACCCUUAAGCUUAGUUGCCAUCAUUAAGUUGGGCACUCUAAGUUGACUGCCGGUGACAAACCGGAGGAAGGUGGGGAUGACGUCAAAUCAUCAUGCCCCUUAUGAUUUGGGCUACACACGUGCUACAAUGGACAAUACAAAGGGCAGCGAAACCGCGAGGUCAAGCAAAUCCCAUAAAGUUGUUCUCAGUUCGGAUUGUAGUCUGCAACUCGACUACAUGAAGCUGGAAUCGCUAGUAAUCGUAGAUCAGCAUGCUACGGUGAAUACGUUCCCGGGUCUUGUACACACCGCCCGUCACACCACGAGAGUUUGUAACACCCGAAGCCGGUGGAGUAACCUUUAGGAGCUAGCCGUCGAAAGG
rnacentral:rRNA from 1 species